UGGUCAGACUUUCUGUAGGAGUGGGCGUGAUUGGUCAGACUUUCUGUAGGAUUGGACAAAAUUGGUCAAACUUUCUGUAGAAGUGGGCAGGACUUGUCAGACUUUCUGUAGGAGUGGGCGGGAUUGGUCAGACUUUCUGUAGGAGUGGGCGUGAUUGGUCAGACUUUCUGUAGGAUUGGACAAAAUAGGUCAAACUUUCUGUAGAAGUGGGCAGGACUUGUCAGACUUUCUGUAGGAGUGGGCGGGAUUGGUCAGACUUUCCGUAGGAGUGGGCAGGAUUUGUCAGACUUUCUGUAAGAGUGGGCGGGAUUGGUCAGACUUUCCGUAGGAGUGGGCAGGAUUUGUCAGACUUUCUGUAAGAGUGGGCGGGAUUGGUCAGACUUUCCGUAGGAGUGGGCAGGAUUUGUCAGACUUUCUGUAAGAGUGGGCGGGAUUGGUCAGACUUUCUGUAGGAGUGGGCAGGAUUUGUCAGACUUUCCGUAAGAGUGGGCGGGAUUGGUCAGACUUGCUGUAGGAGUGGGCGGGAUUGGACAAAAUAGGUCAAACUUUCUGUAGAAGUGGGCAAGACUUGUCAGACCUUCUGUAGGAUUGGACAAAAUAGGUCAAACUUUCUGUAGAAGUGGGCAGGACUUGUCAGACUUUCUGUAGGAGUGGGCGGGAUUGGUCAGACUUUCUGUAGGAGUUGGCAGGAUUGGUUAGACUUUCUGUAGGCGGAAUUAAAUAAAGAAAAAACGGUUCUGCACUCACCUCUAAUUUGAUCUAUAUCAGUACAGUAAAUAUAGUAUUGUAGGCCACUAAGAGAUUCUCCCACUCCUCUCCAGACCUGAAAAAAGCUUUGGUGCUUCCUCCAAAUAAGUCUAAAAGAGGACCAGUUGUCUUUUCAUCCAAGAACCCAGAGAAGAGCUUGUUUUCACACUGCCUGUUCAGGACCUGAGG
ensembl:lncRNA